CUCGGCUUGAAAGCUUGUCCGUUCUGUUGAUGCUCGGGAAAACAUCCCGAAGUGGAAACACAGCGUGGAAAACUCGACACGACGCCGCCGACUCGCCGAGGACGCUCAGUUUCGACUAAGCCGGCAUCCAGACUGGAUCGUUUCUUCGUGUGCUCUUCGGAUUGCGUUUGGCGGAGUAAAUUUUCCGAGUGUUGUUUCACGUGCUGCUGAAGCUCCUAGCUAGGAAGAGAGCAAGUGUGUAUGUGUACGUGUAUGUAUGUGGUUUAUUGGAGCUUUUUCCUAUGGCAACGCGGGAUCACCGGAUGUUAAUGAUGGCGAUGAUGAUAAUAAUAAUGAUGGCGAAAGUGUUUGUUUAGCUCAGCAGGAAUUGUUGUCGUCGGAUUCCGGGAUCUAACUUUGGAGUCGGAGUAUAUUAUGUGUUUUUUUUGUGAGAAAAGAAUCAAUGUGGAGAAGAAACUCAAUUUGGUGACAGAAACCUAGAAACAACAUUAAGAGAAAUAAAAAUCAGCAGUUCAACGAUAUUGUGUCGUGAGGAUAAAAUCGGCGCCGCCAGCUAAAGCACAGGUUUCCGUCGGAUGGCAAGCAGCAGCUCGUUGAUCGCGCAACACACAUUCGGAAAAUGAUUUAUUGACUUGAACGGCACAAGUCCACGAGAGUGGAGCACAUCAACAGUCGUCGCCUCGCUGCUUCUUCAUCACCGCCAUACCCGUGGCACCGAAUUUCGGGCGUCAGCUGAUACAGUAUGAUUGGGAGAAGAGAAGAUUGUAUUUUAGUUUGGCGUGUUUCCGAAUCAAUCAAAAACUUUUUGGAAAAUUGAAUUGUUUGACGUGGGCAAACAAUCAGCGACUCUCUGCAGUGAAGUGGAUAAUUUUGCGAUAUUGGUUGGAGGAACAAACAAGCGGUAGCAGCGAUAAAGAACAGUGACAUAAAGCAGAACAACUCAAUCAUCUAGGUGCCGUUUACAUUUUGAACUCAAUCUGUACGCCCGAUCGUAAAACCGUUCCAGUUUGGAGGAGGAAAAUUAUCUGCAAACUGUUUGGCGUUUCAGUUCUGGGGGCGAAAAUCAGUGCAAAGCAGCAAAACAGAACCGAAGAGAAGUUUCUUUUUAGUGUAAACAUAAGAUCCAGACUCUCCGCCUCGCGCGAAAGGAAGCAUCCAGUGGGAGCAGUGAGUGGAGUGGAAAGUGCUCGUCAAGACGAGGAGCCAAGUCGCAGUGGCAUAAAAAUUACAAAUUGAAUCGUUCCCGCGUGCACUAGCAUGUGAAUUUGAUUUGUGUAUACAUAACGGCGAGGUGCUGCGUGGGAGAAGCUAGGAAAACCCGUCACUGAGUGCGCACCCAGGUCUUGGUGAAACGAGCGAGAAGAAGUACUCUUCAUUACUACGGCCCCGUCAGAAGCGCGGGAAAAGAAUACAUAGCAUCUUUUUGAUGAACCACAGAGUGCUCCCCUUCUCUAAAAGCUUGCUUCUUAAGCUGCCGUUACUGUACUGCGAGCGGUGCAAGUAGUGUCGAGAGGAAGCAGAAUUCAGUGAACUGUGCUCGAAUGGUGUUGGGAAGCCCCGUUGAAUGAUAUUCUACAGUCUAUGUGGGGAAACUAUAAAAAAGAGGGCGUCAAAGGAAGGGAAAGCGCCAAGAAAGCGGUUUAAAUAGAGAUAUCAUUAGUGACUUGCAGACUCGUCGAGGGAUAUUGAUUGCCGGUUGGGAGAGGAUUUCGACUGUUGAAAUCGAUAUCGAUUGACUGUUCAAG